CGAGUGGCGAAGCUAACGCGUUAAGUUUAUCCGCCUGGGGAGUACGGUCGCAAGGCUAAAACUCAAAGGAAUUGACGGGGACCCGCACAAGCGGUGGAGCAUGUGGUUUAAUUCGAUGCAACGCGAAGAACCUUACCUGGUCUUGACAUCCUGCGAACUUAUCUUAAUAGAUUUGGUGCCUUCGGGAACGCAGUGACAGGUGCUGCAUGGCUGUCGUCAGCUCGUGUCGUGAGAUGUUGGGUUAAGUCCCGCAACGAGCGCAACCCUUAUCCUUAUUUGCCAGCACUUCGGGUGGGAACUAUAAGGAGACUGCCGGUGAUAAACCGGAGGAAGGCGAGGACGACGUCAAGUCAUCAUGGCCCUUACGACCAGGGCUACACACGUGCUACAAUGGGAAGGACAAAGGGUCGCUAAGCCGCGAGGUGGUGCUAAUCUCAUAAACCUUUUCGUAGUCCGGAUUGGAGUCUGCAACUCGACUCCAUGAAGUCGGAAUCGCUAGUAAUCGUGGAUCAGAAUGCCACGGUGAAUACGUUCUCGGGUCUUAUACACACCGCCCGUCAUACCAUGGAAGUGGGUUGCACCAGAAGCGGCUAGUCUAAC
rnacentral:rRNA from 1 species